CCCAGGGGUGCUGGGCAAGAAUCUAACUUCCUUGCUCUCUCCCGCCCAGACUAUUCAGAAGUUGAACUCCACAUGUUCUAAAAUAUGCGUGCUGAUGCUGUGAUAGAGUCCAAAGUGCUCAAGGUUUAAGAACAGAUUGAAGGCAGCCUUGGAAGUCCUGUGACCACUGCCAGCAUAGCUGCAUGGCCUUCUCGCACCAAGCUGCAAAGCAGCAACCUGUCAUCGGAGCUUGGUGCUUACAGGGAGUAAAUGGAGGGGACUGACUGUGUUUGGUAGUAAGAGGUGAACUUCUGCAUUCUGUAGCUUCUGAGAUGGUAAACUUUUUUAAAGUUCAGUUAAAAUUAGGGAAAUCCUUGGUAAAAGAUGUCUGUGGUUAGGGUCAUCAGAAUCCAUCUCCUGUGUACGUUUUUGGAAUCCUUUUAAAAAAAAAAAAUCAAUCCUGAUAUGUGAAAGGUGUGACAAACUCCAGCACAGGUGCAGGUUCAGUGAUGAUUAGAGCAUCCACUAUGUUCUACAAAAGAAACUAUAUUCAAAACAGCUAAACAAGGGUAUUUAUAGCAGCAUCUGUUUCAGCUAUAUCUGUCAGCUAAGAAACAGUCUGACACUGCUUCAGGGAGGUGGGGGAGGGAUUUAUCAAUGAAGUGUUUACAUAAUGCAGGCAGGCAUUGUAUACUCAAGGUGAUACCAACUCUAACAGGAUAACAAAUAUCUAAAGACACUUUUAUUCUCCGAGGCCUUUGCUCCAGUAGUCACUCUACAAAAUUGCCUUUGUGUUCGUUUGUUCAUAACUGUAAACACUUUUAUAGCAUGUGACGUUUUAUAGUAUCUUCUCUUGGUUCUGCUUAAAGCUUUUAAUGGAGAUGUAAUUUUUUCUCCCCCACCCACCCAGUAUUCUUCAAAGCCAUCACUGACUAAAAUUCAGAAUUGUUUCAGGCAAACCCAUUGGGUUUGACUGCACAUUGAAAAUCUUUGUUUUAAGCAAAAUAUUUAAUUUAACUGGAAGGGAAACUUUUUUUCAGUUAGUACUCAGAAAUGUCAGCACGCUGAAAAAUGGCUUAUUGUACAGCUCUGGGUACUUGCUGACAGAUUUGACUGGCAAAAAGAAUGAGAGAGUUGGAAACCAAAUAGUGAAUACCUGUCUGCUUCCAAUUAUUCCACCCAGGAGCUCUACCCAGAGCAGAGGAACGGGAGUUGCCCUCUUUUUUUUCCUAUUAGAGGUAACUGAAGCACAGCUUCUUCGUGGGGACAAAGCAGCUCUGUGCUGCCUGCUCCUUGGAGGCUGUAGCUGUCCGAUGAGGUGGAGCAAGCAGCUGUGCAGCUCCUUCACAUCAGCCAGAAACACAGAAUCUCUGUGAACCUUUUUCCCCAAAGCACUUGAAUUUGGAGCUGACCUAACAUUUUAAACAGCUCAGUGGGAGAAUGGCUUCCUGGAGGUUUUGGUGGGGAGGAUGGAUAUUGUUUUAGCUGCACUUCUAAGACCUGCCUUCUUGGAGCUGCGUUUAGAGCUAAAGGGAAGAAAUAGAAACGCUAAGUCGCAAAGACAGCGAGGUGAACCCUGUUAAUGUUGUGAGACUGAAAAGAGUGGCCUGUGGAAUUUGGAAGUCAAUCUGUACAGCUUGUUCAGCGAUAUGGUUCCAAUUUUACCUAGCCAGAUGCUGCAGGAGUUUGCUUCUUUGGGUAAAACAGCCUUUAAAAACUGAAAUGUCUCUCUUUUGUGAUGUGAUUCUAGGUCCUGUAGUCAAAUAAGGGAGGAUAAGCAGUAUGAAAUUCUGCUGAAUGUGGAAAAUGUAAAAGGCACAAAAUUUACAUGGCAUAAUCCAGGUCUCUCUGUUUAUGUAAGUGUUCCAUGUGUAUGGUGUAGUUCAUCUCUGUCUUUCAAAAAUAUCUUGUCACAAAUUUACAGAUUUUUUUAUCAUGAGCCAUAAGGUACUGGUUCAGUAAUUAACUGGUUCUUUAAUAGAGCUGCAAUUACUUUGUUUCAUGAGAAGGAAAAAAAGAAUGCAUUCCAAGACAGAGCUACUUUCGACAUCUGGGAACCUCCUAACAGCUGGCUAUCUAAUGAAUAUGCAUCUGCUUAAGAGGCUGUAGUCCAUUAAUAAACCAAUAGAUAUAAAACAGAAAGAAUCUUUGUCAGCUUCAAAUGAGAUUGGAUGCAAUGUGCUGUGAAGUGUCACUGUCGUGUUGAAUCGAGCCGGGGAGGUUAACAGUUGCUCUUUGGUACCAGCGGGUUCGUGGCAGAGGCGAGGGCUGCAGCCUUGUGGCGAGAGGGCUGAAAUCCCAAAGUCUUGUGGCUGCUUUCUGCCGCCUUUUGCAUCCCUAUUUCUCCCCCUGUUUCUCCUGGUACCAAUUGAGUCUGAGGCACAGUUGACCAUUUACCAUCUACUCUUUUUUGGUUUGACAAAAGAGGAUGUGUUGGUUUUUUUUCGUAUAGAAAUGAUUUGAUAGGCACAGGAAUCGAGCAUGUGAACAAAUGACUCGGGAGAAGUUACAUGAAUGUGAUAAAAAUGCACCUAUUUGACAGAGAACUGGGGCAUGUAAGGGAACUUAGACUACCCCGUGAGCUGUGUUGUACAAAAGGACUGGUGAAAUAAACACUCUUAAAAACAAUGACAGUGACCUCACUUGACUGCAUAAAUGUCUGAACCCUUAAGGAUUGUAUCUGCACUUGUUCUGAGAUGUUGUCCCAAACUGUAGCAACACUUGGUAUCUUAUUUUUGUAGUAGUCUGCGCCUUCAUUUCCUGGGGGAGCUCCCAUAAUACGUGAGGUCGAUGUAGCAUUACUUUAAGCAGCCGUGUCCUUUCUGCACAGACACAAUCCAGCCCCGGUUGGUCUAGUAUUGUCUUCUUUUCAAAGGGUAAUCACGCUGAAUAGGAGCCUCUUGAAGUAGCAAUAAUUAUUUUUGAUGCAAAAUGUUAAUGAGGUGGAGUUCUCCUUAGAGAAAAGUUACAAUUUCAUCUUAAGCCACGGUACUGCUAGGAGUGACUGUCAGCUGUUAAAUUACCAGUCUGCAGGCUCCUUGGGACAGAGGUGAGUCUCUUUUUUAUUUGGGGUGUUGGGGGACUGAGGUAGUUUCCUUCCUUAGAAAAACGUUGAGGUGACGUAAUUCCACUGCCUGCAGAAAUGGAGAAGCCAAGGAGCUUGGGCUGGUUUUGCCCAGGGUGGUUGCAGAUUGUAAGGCUAAUUAUUUGGAGGCACCCAUGUCCCACUUUCCAAUUCAUCCUCCCUGUUUGGGACCCUCACCUGUACCACCCCUCUGCCAUGGGAGUGCGGGGAGUCUGGCAGCUGAGGCACACAAGAGCCUUUGGAGGUUUUUGAGAACCUGUGCUGGAUUGACAGCAUCCCUGGGCAGGCUAGGCUGUUUUUUUUCUAUUGUCUACAGAUGAAAGAUUUCUUUUUUUCCCUAACACCUUGUCAAAACGUACUCCCUGCCCUGCUCUCGACAUGGCAAAGAAGCAAAUCCAGCCAGCAAAACUCUGGUUUCUCCUGAGGAUUGGACUCCUCAACCGUUUGCAGCACAGCAGGUAGGUCACUGAUUAGCAACCCAACUUCCCUCCCUCCAGAGCUCUACCUUUCACCCCCAAAUUAGCAGGACUAAGAUGUUACAGCUUUAUCUUUUUUGAGACAGACAAAAGAGCAAACUGUAAUGGAGGGCUGUCCUUUUAAAUACUUUUACUUUUCAAGGUCAUUUGUGGAGCUUUUAUCAAUCAGAAAGCUAAAUUGAUACAAAAAGCAUCUAUAAUGAACCAAGCAUAUCUUGAACCUUAUCCCUUCAGCUGAAUACAAAUUAUCUAGGAAGGUAUGCUCAUCAAGUUCAGCAUCCCUGUGACCAUUUAGAAAGAAAGCAGAGAAGCCACUAUUGUGGUUUGGCAUCUAUCAAUUUAUUGUCUUUUCCUGUAAUUGAUUUAUUAAUUAUAGCAUCUUAAUGAUCUAUUUAAAAUAAAUAAACCAUUUACACCAUUUCAAAGGUAUUUUGUGAUGUUCAGCUGAUAUUAAAAUAGCACGAGCCUUAUGUGCUUUUUCAGCAAGUGACCUAAUUAGUUAAUAAAGUAAUUGAAUAUUAAAAAGGAUGUUGCAAGUGAUUAAAAUUUAAGAGCCUUCAGAACAUUAUUAAAGCUAUAAAUCAUACAUCACUGUUUUAAUUUGCAUAGCUACAGAAUUACUAAUGGUCCCACAUGCAUAAGCUACUUGGCAAUUAGUCUUCUAACAAACUGUUGGUGAUAGUAUGAGAUUACCAAAAUCUUUCCUGUUUUGACUUGCAACCAAAUCCCAGGAUGAGAGAACACUAAGGGUUAAAUUCCUGAAAACAUGGAAAUUAAGUUCCUUCAUAGGUCGCUGUGCACUAGCCUCUGUCACCCAUUGUCCCUUGCCCUUCUGGCCAGUGGACCACAACCUCCCAUGUCCCAACAAGGUGUUGAAAGGAGAGGAAGAAGCAUCUGUCUCCACUUUGAGCUUCCUAGGCUAGCCUUGGGUCUUUUCUCCAGCCCAGUUCAAAGUGCAGGAAUUCUCCUACGUGGUGCUGGGUCAUUCUGCAUUCUUCUCCCAAUAUGUACGCCUGUCACGGCGGUGCUUCUCUUCCCUGUCACCUGGACUCCAAGCUCAUUAACAGCACCAAGCAGAGGGCGAGCUGCCACAAGGCAGUGGUACUUGAGCUUUGUCCCAUGGAUGCUGUCUUUGGGCUGCAGGGAAGGGCCAAACCAGCUGCUUGUCACCUUUUGGCUGUAUGGGAAGUGCCUGAAGCGCCUGCAGACAAUGAAUGGUUUGCAGAAACAUCAUGGAUGGGGAGCUGCCUGCUGGCCUCACUGGGCACAGCCCCUUCCCUGUGUGCUUGGGGCAGUGAGGGUCAGCUGCCUGUGGCCUGUGUCUGCACUCUGGGGCUGGCUGCAGGCUGGAGGUGAGCCAUGAUGCCUGUUUUCAAUUUAAUUAAGAGACAAACUGCUUUGGCCAGCUGAUCUGCCCCUGCUUGCCUCUCUUGCCAAGAGCCAGUAGUUCUGCAGUGACGGUUCCUGGCCUCGGGCCUGCUGUCCAGCUCCUGAGCUGCAGCGGGGCAUGGUCCAGUGCCCAGGCAGAGAGCGGCUCUGCCACCGUACGGACGUGCAGCCUGACAGGGAGCUGCUGCUCCAGGCAAAAUCAGCUGCCUACAAGCAACCGACCUGGUGUGCAGUGGAGCACAACCCUGCCAUCCGUCAGCUAAAUGGCUGGAGCAGCUGAAAGCUGAUGAGAGGGAGAGCAAACAAAGCUACAGCCAAGCAAGAGCAUGGCUUUAGCAUAAGCUCAGCAGCAUUGUCCCUUCCCUGACCAGCGCUGCUGUGUAUCGCGCCCUCUUCCCUGUGCUGCACAGCCCCCUGGCUCCAUCUGGCGCCCCCAGGACUUGGCUGCUGCGCCUGCUGUAGGGACAGACUCUCAGUGAAUCAGUUUCUAAUUUCCCAUCUCUUUGAUGCGUGCGGUGUUAUCGCAGUGUUAUAGUCUGUCCCGGUCCCUCGCAGGAACGCUGGGUUUGUGCUCCCCAGCUCCUCCUCCCCUUGCCGCUGCCUGCUCGGUCGCUGCAGUCGCGCUGCUUGCAUAAGCUAAUGUGUUCACCGUGUAAGUCACAAGUCCUUUUUCUUUGGAACAAAAAAGAUAUCACAGAACAGCACUUCCCUGCAAAACAAAGCUGUCAUUCCCACCGAGUCAGCAGAAGCCUUGAUGUAGUUUUAGCUAUUAAAGCGCGCUGGCUGCUACGGUACCAGGAGAAAUUCAUUUUUGUGCUGCAAAACUUUUCAGGAGCUUCCUUUGAAGCCUUUAUUGAGGUCAGGGGCUGCAACCUCUUGUAUCAUUUCCAUGUCAGCCUGCAGCACUCUUUGAAAGCCCUUACACUGGAUAUCCUGACAAAUAGCAGCUCUUUGUUCAUUAGUUUACACUCGGUAAUAGAUGUGAGGCCAGGUUCGAGGAUGGUUCUCAGCAAGUGAUUCACACUCUGCUGCACUAAGGUUUGCUGUGGCUCAAGUAGUUGGAGACAGUACAAUCUGCUUUCAAGGGUCUGUGUUUUGAAUUAAAACAGCAAGCUAAGGACGGGGUGACUUCAGAGCAUCCUGAUUCCACAAGGAAUGACAAGAACACAGCUGCUUCUAAAAUAAUUACUGCCCAUUAUCUUACAGGUACAAAACUCAUCACGUGAGGAAGGCAGUUUUGUAAACAUGCAAGCAUUACAACAGUACAAGCACCAUGCUGAGUGACAAGGACUUAAGGACUGCCAGGCUGUGGAAAACAAAUAAUCAAAACUAAGAAGUGGCCUAUGUUAUGAAGGAUGACAGGACAGACUCAUAAACGCCAAGAUGAGAGAGAUCUCCAAGGCAGGAUGAUCUGUCAAGCGGAAGAUACAAUGACACAGCUGUACUUUGCUCUAAAGCAGUGGAAAUCAGAAGCAAUCGCUAAAGGAGCAGGAGCAGCUUUCAUUUCUUUCCUGAGGGAGAG